AUACGGGAGGCAGCAGUAAGGAAUAUUGGACAAUGCCCGCAAGGGUGAUCCAGCCAUGCCGCGUGCAGGAAGAAGGCCCUAUGGGUCGUAAACUGCUUUUACACCGGAGAAAACCUCCCCUCGUGAGGGGAGCUGAUAGUAUGGUGAGAAUAAGCAUCGGCUAACUUCGUGCCAGCAGCCGCGGUAAGACGAAGGAUGCAAGCGUUAUCCGGAUUCAUUGGGUUUAAAGGGAGCGUAGGCGGUCUUAUAAGUCAGUGGUGAAAGCCUAGAGCUUAACUCUAGAAUUGCCAUUGAUACUGUAGGACUUGAGUAUAGUUGCUGUGAGCGGAAUAUGACAUGUAGUGGUGAAAUACUUAGAGAUGUCAUAGAACACCGAUUGCGAAGGCAGCUCACAAAACUAUAACUGACGCUGAGGCUCGAAAGUGCGGGGAUCAAACAGGAUUAGAAACCCCAGUAGUCC
rnacentral:rRNA from 1 species